ACGAACGCUGGCGGCGUGCCUAACACAUGCAAGUCGAGCGGAGACAGUGAGUAGCUUGCUAUGAGCUGUUUUAGCGGCGGACGGGUGAGUAACGCGUGAGCAACCUUUCCCAGACAGGGGAAUAACACACCGAAAGGUGUACUAAUACCGCAUAAGACCACGGAAUCACAUGGUUCUGAGGUAAAAGAUUUAUCGGUUUGGGGUGGGCUCGCGUCCGAUUAGGUAGUUGGUGAGGUAACGGCCCACCAAGCCGACGAUCGGUAGCCGACCUGAGAGGGUGAUCGGCCACAUUGGGACUGAGACACGGCCCAAACUCCUACGGGAGGCAGCAGUGGGGAAUAUUGGGCAAUGGGGGGAACCCUGACCCAGCAACGCCGCGUGGAGGAAGAAGGUUUUCGGAUCGUAAACUCCUGUCCUUGGAGACGAGUAGAAGACGGUAUCCAAGGAGGAAGCCCCGGCUAACUACGUGCCAGCAGCCGCGGUAAUACGUAGGGGGCAAGCGUUGUCCGGAAUAAUUGGGCGUAAAGGGCGCGUAGGCGGCUCGGUAAGUCUGGAGUGAAAGUCCUGCUUUUAAGGUGGGAAUUGCUUUGGAUACUGUCGGGCUUGAGUGCAGGAGAGGUUAGUGGAAUUCCCAGUGUAGCGGUGAAAUGCGUAGAGAUUGGGAGGAACACCAGUGGCGAAGGCGACUAACUGGACUGUAACUGACGCUGAGGCGCGAAAGUGUGGGGAGCAAACAGGAUUAGAUACCCUGGUAGUCCACACUGUAAACGAUGAAUGCUAGGUGUAGGGGGUAUCGACCCCUUCUGUGCCGCAGUCAACACAAUAAGCAUUCCGCCUGGGGAGUACGGCCGCAAGGUUGAAACUCAAAGGAAUUGACGGGGGCCCGCACAAGCAGCGGAGCAUGUGGUUUAAUUCGACGCAACGCGAAGAACCUUACCAGGUCUUGACAUCCCGAUGAAAAACCCGUAACGGGGUUCGCUCUUCGGAGCAUCGGAGACAGGUGGUGCAUGGUUGUCGUCAGCUCGUGUCGUGAGAUGUUGGGUUAAGUCCCGCAACGAGCGCAACCCUUAUCUUCAGUUACUAACGCGUGAGGGUGAGGACUCUGAAGAGACUGCCGGGGACAACUCGGAGGAAGGUGGGGACGACGUCAAAUCAUCAUGCCCCUUAUGACCUGGGCUACACACGUGCUACAAUGGCCACGACAGAGAGAAGCGAAAUCGCAAGGUAGAGCGGAACUCAAAAAAGUGGUCCCAGUUCGGAUUGUGGGCUGCAACCCGCCCACAUGAAGUCGGAGUUGCUAGUAAUCGCGGAUCAGCAUGCCGCGGUGAAUACGUUCCCGGGCCUUGUACACACCGCCCGUCACACCAUGAGAGUUGGGGAUACCCGAAGCCUGUGAGCCAACAGUUAAACGAGGCAGCAGUCGAAGGUAGAAUCAAUGAUUGGGGUG
rnacentral:rRNA from 1 species